rnacentral:rRNA from 1 species
ACGCUAGCGGCAGGCUUAAUACAUGCAAGUCGAGGGGUAACAGGGGUAGCAAUACCUGCUGACGACCGGCAAACGGGUGCGGAACACGUACGCAACCUCCCCAUAACAGGUGAAUAGCCUUCCGAAAGGGAGAUUAAUACACCGUAACAUAACGAUGAGGCAUCUCAUUGUUAUUAUAGGCUUCGGCCGGUUUUGGAUGGGCGUGCGGCUGAUUAGGUAGUUGGCGGGGUAACGGCCCACCAAGCCUGCGAUCAGUAACUGGUGUGAGAGCACGACCAGUCACACGGGCACUGAGACACGGGCCCGACUCCUACGGGAGGCAGCAGUAAGGAAUAUUGGUCAAUGGACGAAAGUCUGAACCAGCCAUGCCGCGUGAAGGAUGAAGGCCCUCUGGGUUGUAAACUUCUUUUAUCUGGGACGAAAAAAGGGUAUUCUUACUCACUUGACGGUACCAGAGGAAUAAGCACCGGCUAACUCCGUGCCAGCAGCCGCGGUAAUACGGAGGGUGCAAGCGUUAUCCGGAUUCACUGGGUUUAAAGGGAGCGUAGGUGGGCUGAUAAGUCAGUGGUGAAAUCUCCGGGCUUAACCCGGAAACUGCCAUUGAUACUAUUAGUCUUGAAUUAUCUGGAGGUAAGCGGAAUAUGUCAUGUAGCGGUGAAAUGCUUAGAUAUGACAUAGAACACCAAUUGCGAAGGCAGCUUGCUACGGAUUGAUUGACACUGAGGCUCGAAAGCGUGGGGAUCAAACAGGAUUAGAUACCCUGGUAGUCCACGCCCUAAACGAUGGAUACUCGACAUCAGCGAUACACUGUUGGUGUCUGAGCGAAAGCAUUAAGUAUCCCACCUGGGAAGUACGACCGCAA